rnacentral:tRNA from 1 species
GUUUCUCAGUGGUAGAGUGCUUGCCUAGCAUGCAGGAGGCCCUGGGUUUAAUCCCCGGCAACA